CAACCGUUCAGCUGACUGUCGGCCGUCCAAAACCUGACGCCACUGACCCCCACUGGGACUUUGGAAUGCUGCCAGAGCCCGUCUGCACCUCCUUCACCUUCCUGGACUCUCUGCGGUUCUGACGUCUGAAGCAUCGGGUUAUUGCAGUCCUGGGAAGCCGAGCAUGUGAGCUUCCCCAGGUCAUUAAGAGCAGGCCUGAAAAGACUCUCUGCGGGCCGGAGAUAAACCAGCCAGCGGACGCGCAAUAAGCUCCGAAUAAAGACAGCUCUGUGGAGGGCCUAGCUGGACACUGAGCCGGGGAUUAAAGACGGUCUGAAUGGAGGAGAAAGUCAAUGGAACCGCACCAAAAUAUGAAGUGAAAGAGAGGUGUGGGCUGGCAGGGGGGCGGACGAGAUGAAUGGGAAACUUAUCAGCAUUCGGAGCGCUUGCGAGGACCCACCGCGACUGGGUCAGGGAGUUCUCCCGGGAGGAAAGGUGCUCUCGGGAGACGCUUAUCUGCUGUUUGUUGAGGCACCUCACGGGGGUAAAAAGAAAUUCGAAGAGUGUCAGUGUCACUUAGAAUCACUCGCAUCUCUCCUUCGCAGACUGAAUUAAACAAGAGAAGAUUUCCUUGUCAAAGAUGACCAAAGAUGUCCCAGAGCCACACAUCAUCACCAUGGACCAAAAGUAGUUUAAAGGUGUUUUCAAGUCAGGGAGCAAACUGUUUCCUGAAACAAACUUUGUUUUGGCUGAACAGAAUAAACGAAACAGAGAAGAUUUUCAUGUCAAAGAAGGCGGAGCCUCAGAGCCACACCUACCUAUUACGUAAUUGC